rnacentral:rRNA from 1 species
GAUGAACGCUGGCGGCGUGCCUAAUACAUGCAAGUCGAGCGAACAGACGAGGAGCUUGCUCCUCUGACGUUAGCGGCGGACGGGUGAGUAACACGUGGAUAACCUACCUAUAAGACUGGGAUAACUUCGGGAAACCGGAGCUAAUACCGGAUAAUAUAUUGAACCGCAUGGUUCAAUAGUGAAAGACGGUUUUGCUGUCACUUAUAGAUGGAUCCACGCCGCAUUAGCUAGUUGGUAAGGUAACGGCUUACCAAGGCAACGAUGCGUAGCCGACCUGAGAGGGUGAUCGGCCACACUGGAACUGAGACACGGUCCAGACUCCUACGGGAGGCAGCAGUAGGGAAUCUUGCGCAAUGGGCGAAAGCCUGACGGAGCAACGCCGCGUGAGUGAUGAAGGUCUUCGGAUCGUAAAACUCUGUUAUUAGGGAAGAACAAAUGUGUAAGUAACUAUGCACGUCUUGACGGUACCUAAUCAGAAAGCCACGGCUAACUACGUG